CAUAGUACUAGAGCCGAUUUACGCAAUCGAAUACCGCCGGAAGUAGAACAUUUAUGUUAACACCGGUUUCGUAUUUUCACGUGAAAACGGCCGAAGACUGAGAGGUUAUCAACAAAUUAUAAGUUUACGGGUACCAUGAGGAUUUUUCAUGCAUUUAAACGAAAGAAGUACAAGCGAACAGAUGACACAUUAAGUGGCUGCAGAAGCUUGAAAAGUUUGAUAGAGCAGGGGCAGUCAAAACAGUGGGAUACUACUUCUAUGGUGUCCAACAUGUCUAGUCAGGUUGACAGAAGUGAAAGAUGGUCUGAUGGUACAAUGAUGUACAAAUGAUACUCUUUAACAAGUUUAACAUGUCAAGGUGUAAAAUGUUCUGUGGAUUCAUAUGACAUGUAUGAUGAGAAUGCCAGUGUUGACCUGUAUGACUUAAUUAAACACAGAUAUUGAUACCUUCAGAUAUAUACCUGUGAAAUCUUCAGUGUCACCGUUCAGCUGUUGUUCAAGAUCAGUGUCUGCAGCUUGCACAGUUUAGUAUAGAGGAGCCUCCUGAAUCAACUUUGUUACAUAUUUGCUGUUAUUGUACGACACACAUGUAGAGAACAGCAAGUCCUGUCCAGCGGUGCAUGUAAAUGUGAUUCAGAAACUUUGAGAAUAUGUAAACAUUACACUGUUAUAAUGUUCAAAAUACUGUCUUGUAGUGUAUCAGUACUGUUUUGUCUCAGUUUAUAGCACAGUAUGUUCACAAAUCAAACUUAAGACCAUAGUGAUCAGUAUUAUUAAAAUCAUUAAUGAUUUGUAUGGUGACAAAAUUUAAUUUCAUGCAAUACCACAGUAA
rnacentral:lncRNA from 1 species